rnacentral:misc_RNA from 1 species
ACAAACUUGGUCAUUUAGAGGAAGUAAAAGUCGUAACAAGGUUUCCGUAGGUGAACCUGCGGAAGGAUCAUUCAUGAGAAUCCUGAGAUCUCCCUUGGGAGGUCGAUGGAUUCGAAUUUCCAUUUUAAAGGAGCCCUCUCAUCAUGAAGGGUGUCUUCCAUUAGAAAUAGUGUGAAGACGGAAGGCUGAUGAAUAGUUUUUUGAAACUUUUUCUGCGCACACAGUCCUUAAUCCUUGCCAAAUUAAAGUGAUGCUUUAAAAAAGUUUUUUUUAUCAACUACUAUUUCUACCAUUCUAUUCUUAAUACAUUAGAGUUCUUUGAGCUCGAAAAUAACAUACAAACAACUUUUGACAACGGAUCUCUUGGUUCUCGCAUCAAUGAAGAACGCAGC